GAAUGAAGGAAUCAUUGCUGUGUGCACGAAAAUUAAAUUUUAGGUCCGCAUGUCUGCCCUCUAUGAUCUUUGAUUUGAUUUUAGGGCCUGGUAACGACCUACAUUUUUUUCUCGUUUAUUUUAUCUAAUUCUCUUCUCUUGUUUGUGUGAUAUAUCUUUAUUCAUUUUAAAAUUAUUCAUACUUUAUAGAAAACUUCAUUUUAAAUUUUGGGUUAAUAGUGAUUUUACAACCAAAAAUUUCCGCUUGGUCGUCCCUCCUAUCUGCAAGAAAUAGCG
rnacentral:lncRNA from 1 species